rnacentral:rRNA from 1 species
GUGGGGAAUCUUGCGCAAUGCACGACAGUGUGACGCAGCAACGCCGCGUGGGGGAAGAAGGCUUUCGGGUCGUAAACCCCUUUCAGGAGGGACGAAGCUUCGGCAGCGAAUAGCUGUCCGGAGUGACGGUACUUCCACAAGAAGCCCCGGCUAACUACGUGCCAGCAGCCGCGGUAAUACGUAGGGGGCAAGCGUUGUCCGGAAUCAUUGGGCGUAAAGAGCGCGUAGGCGGCCAGAUAAGUCCGGUGUGAAAGUCACAGGCUCAACCUGUGAAUGCCGCUGGAAACUGUCUGGCUAGAGUCCGGUAGGGGCGAGUGGAAUUCCUGGUGUAGCGGUGAAAUGCGCAGAUAUCAGGAGGAACACCAAUGGCGAAGGCAGCUCGCUGGAACGGUACUGACGCUGAGGCGCGAAAGCGUGGGGAGCGAACAGGAUUAGAAACCCUAGUAGUCC